rnacentral:rRNA from 1 species
GACGAACGCUGGCGGCGUGCUUAACACAUGCAAGUCGAACGGAAAGGCCCUGCUUGUGAGGUGUGCUCGAGUGGCGAAAGGGUGGGUAACACGUGAGUAAUCAGCCGUUGACUAUGGGAUAACUUCAGGAAACUGAGGCUAAUAACUGAUAGGAGAUCCUGCUGCAUGGUGGGGGUUGGAAAGUUUCGGCGGGUGGGGAUGGACUCGCGGCGUAUCAGCUUGUUGGUGGGGUAGUGGCUUAGCAAGUCUUUGACGGGUAGCCGGCCCGUGAGGGUGAGCGGACACAUUGGGACUGAGAUGAGGCACAGACUACUACGGGAGGCAGCAGUGGGGAAGAGUGCACAACGGGCGGAAGCCUGAUGCAACAACGCGGCGUGGGGGAUAGCGGCAAUCGUGUUGGUAAGCGCUUUCGCCUGUGAAGAAACGUGAGUGACGGUAAUGGGUAAAGAAGCACCGGCUAACUACGUG